UACGUAGGGUGCAAGCGUUAAUCGGAAUUACUGGGCGUAAAGCGUGCGCAGGCGGCUUUGCAAGACAGAUGUGAAAUCCCCGGGCUUAACCUGGGAACUGCAUUUGUGACUGCAUGGCUGGAGUGCGGCAGAGGGGGAUGGAAUUCCGCGUGUAGCAGUGAAAUGCGUAGAUAUGCGGAGGAACACCGAUGGCGAAGGCAGUCCCCUGGGCCUGCACUGACGCUCAUGCACGAAAGCGUGGGGAGCAAACAGG
rnacentral:rRNA from 1 species